rnacentral:rRNA from 1 species
GACGAACGCUGGCGGCGUGCCUAAUACAUGCAAGUAGAACGCAGUUGCGAACGGGUGAGUAACGCGUAGGUAACUGCCUCAUAGCGGGGGAUAACUAUUGGAAACGAUAGCUAAUACCGCAUACUGUGAGAUGGACCUGCGUUGUAUUAGCUAGUUGGUGAGGUAAAGGCUCACCAAGGCGCCGAUACAUAGCCGACCUGAGAGGGUGGGCGGCCACAAUGGGAAUGAGACACGGCCCAGACUCCGACGGAAGCCAGCCGUAGGGAGACGUCGGCAAUGGACGGAAGUCUGACCGAGCAACGCGGCGUGAGGGAAGAGGGUUGUCGGAUCGUAAAGCUCUGGUGUUAGAGAAUCGGUAACUACCCAGAAAGGGACGGCUAACUACGUGCCAGCAGCCGCGGUAAUUC